UACACACUGGUCGAUAUAUCGGCCGUUCUCUUGAACGGCCGAUAUAUCGCGGGACCGUCGGCUAGUGUAUACGGCCGAUACGUCUGUGAACUCCGUCGUUCACAGACGUAUCACGUCGGCCAUGCAGCACAGCCGACGGCCAAUAUAUCUACCGAUAUAUUGGCGCGUCGCUGUGUGUGUACGGGGCGGUCGGCCGACCACCCGUACACAUGCUGCGGCGGCUGGCGGUGAUUGACAGCUGAACUGGGCGGGUGUGUGUACACGCCCGCUCAGUUCAUGACGUCAGUCCCCGACGGAUUGGGCAGUGUGUAUGCUGAACACACUGCCCGAUCCGUCCAUAGAUAUAUCUGCAGAUCAAUUGAACUGCUGAUAUAUCUAUUAGUGAGUACCCACCUUUAGAUGGACACAGAGCAGCAACUUGGAGCAGAGGCAGCUGCUGGUAUGUGACAGGAGUGCUGUACAGCUUAUGAAAAGGCAGAUUCUAUUCCUGGUGACCGGAGAUCUUCAUUGUAGCAGCCAAUCAGUAAUAUCAGCCUCCUGUGGGGAUCCCACUGCUUCCACUGUUGUUGGCUGACAGGUAUCUGACAGAGAAAAACAGUGAUGGGCUCUACUGACUGUGUAGCUGGAAACUAGGCCACGCAGCCUAUCCUCCCUUUUGAAGGACAGCCCUGGAGGUAACCCUUCUUUGGAGUAGCUGAUGGUGGGAGGAGCAGAGACAGUGUGUUGCUGCAGCUGCAGACAGAGGCAGACAUCACUCAAAUCAAUCACCUGAUGAAUGUCUGACUGACUGCUGAGGUACAGAGAUAACAGGAUACUUCGCCUUCCUUCCCUUCAUAACUACCUGUAGACUGCUACUAUGAAGGUUUUGGGAAAGAGAUUAAAUUGAAAUUGCUAGAAACACUUUUAAAAGCUCAAUACAUGCCGUGCUGCACUGCAAUCAUAAAUUUAAGCACUGGGAGUCAAUGUGGAUCACAAUCAGUUGAUAGAAGAGCAGGAGCAGCAACCAAGUAAUAGUGGAAGACCUAAAACCAAAACAUGAAGUUAAUAAGGAUCCAGAACCAAAACACGGAGUGCGGACCCUGCUCUCCCGUCCCCAUGCAGGGGCAUAGCGGCUGACCGAGAAGACAUCACUCCGGGCUCUCUCUGCUGUCAUCAUCACAGUGGGGUCGAAGGUGAUACUUAAUUAUGAAAUGACAAUAUUACAAGCUACUGGACUUUUGUGAAGUGCAAAGUUUCUAUGAUCUGUGUAGACAUUGAGGGGAGAAGGGAUGCAUCAAGAAUAUUUCUCCACUUUUGCGAGCCAGGUUUCAUGACUAGUAGUUCUCUGCACCACUAAAGAAGACGAACUUGUGGAAGAAGUAAACACCCUUGUGGUUCUAACCUCUGCCAGCUUGGUCAGUUACAUUAAGUAAUAAGCAUCUUUUUAUAUAGAACCAUGUUUAUAGUACAACACAAUAUUAUUACAGUUUUUCUAACUGUUUUGCUGUUUGACAAAAGGUUACUCAUAUUCUUUCUUUUACAUCUCCCAUUCCCUUGCCUGAAUGGAUUGUAUGCCUGUCAGCUAACUGGCUUGAAAUUCCCUGCCAGGUGGACAGCUUUGAUGGCUAAGAGGUGGCGUUAUGCCCAGUAAAGCAGCUUUCAAGCCUCGAGCCAUGAGGAUGAGCUCUCAGUCCUUCUUAUGCUCCAGCCUAGUUUAAUAUGUUAACAGCACAUACCAUGAAAUAUUGCAUUUUUUUACAUGGAAAGUUUUCAAUAUCAAACUAUUUUCUGAGCUUCAGUAUUACAAUAGGGAUGUUUAGUGAGCUAUUUUAUUCAUGUCUUAACUACAGCAGUCAAAAUGCAAUUGUCUUAUUAUUUGAUUUUGGUUAGAUUUCCACACCACUAAUUUAUCAUGAUUUUUAUUAUAUCUCCUUUUUGACAGCUGUCACUGGCAUGUUUAUUUAUAAAGGCAGGGUAGCAGACGAGCAGUCCCCUCUGAGGCCAAUGUCAAUGUUAAUCUGAGAUCAGGCAACCCUAUACACAAUCAGACAAUGUAUUUACUUUUACAUAGCUUUUGCAUUUGUUAUGAAUGUAUACUAGCAGGAAAAGUGGUAUUUAAAUUAAAACAAAAAACAUACAAAUAUUUUUUUUUACAAAAAUAUAUGUGGUAAAU